CCUACGGGCGGCAGCAGUGAGGAAUAUUGGUCAAUGGGCGAGAGCCUGAACCAGCCAAGUCGCGUGAAGGAUGAAGUAUUUCGGUAUGUAAACUUCUAUCAGCAGGGAAGAAAAUGACGGUACCUGACUAAGAAGCCCCGGCUAACUACGUGCCAGCAGCCGCGGUAAUACGUAGGGGGCAAGCGUUAUCCGGAUUUACUGGGUGUAAAGGGAGCGUAGACGGUAUGGCAAGUCUGAUGUGAAAACCCGGGGCUCAACCCCGGGACUGCAUUGGAAACUGCCGAACUAGAGUGUCGGAGAGGCAAGUGGAAUUCCUAGUGUAGCGGUGAAAUGCGUAGAUAUUAGGAGGAACACCAGUGGCGAAGGCGGCUUGCUGGACGAUGACUGACGUUGAGGCUCGAAAGCGUGGGGAGCAAACAGGAUUAGAUACCCUAGUAGUC
rnacentral:rRNA from 1 species